rnacentral:misc_RNA from 1 species
AGAUACACAUAUUCUCUCUCCCCCACCACCAUACACGCCCCCUCCCCCUCCCAUCCCAAUCCUACACAGACGUAAAGCUGAGCACACAUACAGUCGUCCACACGCAGCGAAGGAGCAAGCACUGAGAGACACCGAACACAGCACCAAAAAGGACGGCACACAUUGCACCGGCGGUGUGGACCAUGUUUUAUUCCGGCUGCUGCCUUGUGUCGCUCACCCCUCUCCGAUAAUUGUCUUCAUCAACAUCUUUGCCCCUUGCAACCUCUCUCGUCUGGAACGUGCUUCGAGGUCCCUUUUCCUGGCUAAUCUCUUCCUUAGCAAACACAACGGGCGCGCCACCCCAUCGUUGGACUUCUUCUCAUCACCUAGCACACAUCACAGCGAUACAGUGACCCAACGCGGUGUGCGCUCACCGACAGGCUCUCCCUUUUUCAUAUAUUUCCUUUUAGGUUCGUAAACCUUGGGAGUACUUUCCCGCCUUUGUGCUCCGCAUUCGUUCAACUGAGUACUUUGGGACGUGUGCUGCCGUUGCGCGAGCGAGCGCGCACUGCCGCAGCCCCGCGCGCCUUCCCCACCGGCUUCGCUCUGCUGCUGCCGCUGGUGCGGGUGCCGGAUCUUACCUCUGUGGGGCGUACCCUCUUUUCUCUUCGUCUUUCCCCUAUCCAAACUGUAGGCGGUCUCUCUCUUCUUUCUACACACACACACACGCAUAUAUAUAUAUAUAUAUAUAGUUGCUUCAGGGUCGAGCAGAUCAACCGGACAAGCCCCCUUUUCGUGCGUCGUCGACUUAUACUCACUUGAUUGGCGGGGCUUGAAGGGUGGAGAAUACGGUCGGAGCGCUGUUGCUACUUCCCCUCCCUCUCUGCCAAGACGCGUCUGGUCUGUGCUUCGACGGUAGGAGAGAGAAGUACAGUGGGCAGAAGAGCAGCAGCUCACCCGCUCCUCCUCCUCCUCUUCCUCCGCUCCUCCCACGCACGCGAUCACCAAAACGCUCCGGCUAUUGCAGUGAAAACGCCGCAGCGGUCGCCGCCAAUUCAAUCCGCGCGCCGAGCCACUGCUUUUGGCUCAACGCUUUUUUUUUUGAUGCCGGAACAGACGCCGUCUCUAUCACGUACGACGCGCUGUGAGCGAGAGGCAGGAAAAAAGGAAGAGAGAAGCAGGGCACCAUCGCCAUUUCUGGGUGAAUUGGCGUAGCAUACCGAUCCUCCCUCCUCGCUGCACUAUUUGCCGUGCUGGCCUUCCCUCUUUCUCUCUGGCCCGUCCCCUGCCCGUGUCGAAAGCAGCCGAAAAUGCCACUCAAGGGGCACACGUAUGAUGUGGCGACCACAGUUGAGGCACUCAACGCGAGCUUCUCGUUCGACCCUAGCUGCCACAUUGAGCGCGUCCUGCCAGAUGCCUCACGGGAGCUGGUGAAACAGGUGCUGUGGGCGACGUCGCGCGUAUCGGCAGUCAACGGCAGGCCUGUCGCGGAUAGCCCUGAGCUGAAGGCAGCGCUGCUGAGUGUGGUCAUGCGGCACCACAACCCACCAUCGGUCACAGGAGAGGAGAAGACGGUGCCAAACUCUGUGGCUCUCUUUCCAAAGACCCCAAUCACCGUCACCUUUGAGCGCACCGAUGAGCAUGCAUGCAAGGUGUCGAUCGAAGGCAGUGUUCUCAGCGACGGUGCGGUGAGCAAGGUGGAGUCUCCGAGCUCCGCUGCCGUACAGGAGCUGAUCAGCGAAAUAGCGCCCCCGUCCAUCGAGGAACCGCCGCCGGCGCUGCCGGCGAUCGAUGCAGAUUUGCGCGGGUCUUUCCGACGUAGCAUGAUCGGCCACCCAGGAAUAGCGGCGGCGCUACUCAAGGAGUCUGUCAGCGCUGCUUCACCGAACGCGACCGUGGCAGCGAGUCGCCGCUCUACAUAUACACCAGCAACUAGUGGCACCCCGCAGCCGGCAACGCGGCGAACAUCCUCCCCGCCGGCGCCGCCGGCGCUACGACCCAGCCACUGCAAGAACAGUAGCUCCUCAUCGGACCUGGAUGACAGCGAGGCCGCCUCGGAGGCCUCCUCAAGCGACUUCGACACGGUGCGCAUUUGCCAGCUGAAGGGCACAUCUCCGUCUGAUGGGUGCAUCACUGCCGCUGCUGCCGCGGCCGCUGCGGCACAAGCAGGGGCCGAGUCUCCCACACCUGGGCUGCUUGAGUUUGAGAAGAUGAAGCUCUCGAUGCGCGGAGACGAAAUGCUGCGCCACGUGGGGCCCGGCGCCGGUACCUACGGCCACACUCCCAGCGACGUAGCGGAGAUGACGGUGAAGGGCCGUAUCAAGCGCGCACUGGAUCGCGUGGAGAUGGGGUAUUGCGUCAUUUGCGUCACGCAGGAUGUGAACCCGAUUGCGGAAAUCGAGCUGCUCGCGUUGACCGCGAAGAAGCGCGUCGUCGCCUUCGACUUGAGCGUGAAGCUGCGCCUCCGGCCAAAGCCGGAGGUGCUCGCGACCCAGUUUGCAGAGGCCAUGCGUAGCGGUGCGUGGUUUGUAAUGGUCAACGCGCACAAGUCUAUCAGCACCUGCCUCGUCUUCGAGGAGCUGCUGGAGGACGCCCACAUGCACAACCUGGAGGGCUUUGACCCAUCGGCGCGGAUCAUCAUAGCCUUAGAGUCACACCCGCACUUUCCCAAGGCGCUUGUGCAUCAUGCCGUGGUCAUCAAGCUCGUCUCCAACUUUCAGGGCUCGUCCUUCCUGUCCGACUCCAUGGCUGCAUCGAUCUCGCGUGCGCGUCUUGUCACGGCGGACGCGCUCACCCAGUCACAGAUCGGGGGCCCGUCGGCGCGCAGCCUGCAGGCUUCUGUGACGCCGAGGGCCACGGUGCAGAAGCCCGCCAAGAAGCAAGUGCGCAUCAGUGCCGCGGUGGAGAUCGUCGAAAUCGCACCCCGCGAGGUAGUCAAGGUGCCAAAGCGUGACUGCCCGAUCGACGUCAGCGGCAGCGUCGCGCUCUUCAAGACCUUCAGCGGUGUGAGCGGCGACAAGUUUCUCUGCGUGCAGUCAGCCGGCGAGGAAGGCCGCUUCGCUGUCGGCUCCUCGUGCGGUAACGUCUACUUCCUCGACUCGCUGGGUAACUCGCUCCUCCAGGCACACGCGCACAACGCCUCUAUCUGGGAUGUCAGCUUCAACGACAAGUUCCAUUUCGCCACUGGCUGCGAGGACGGCACGUCUGCCGCCUGGAGGCUAGGCGCAUCGCUCGGCGGCGCCUUGACUGAUGACGCGGUGCUUGUGCCAACGGCGGCGACAUCGCUCGGCUCCGACGUGUACUGCGUCUGCUACCUCAAGAACAUGAAUCCCUCCCCACUGCUCAUCGGUGGCUUGCACAACAGCCUAGUCAUCCGCGAGGCGGAGAGCGAUGCGGUGCAUCUCGUGUCCAUCCCAUCAAACGCGCAGGUGGUGGACUGCUUGCCAAACUCGGCCACGGCCCUGGUCGGCGGGGGCGAUGGCUCCGUAUGCGUAGUGGACGUAACGACGGCCAAGCCGCUCGGCACCCUGGUAGACCACACUCGCAAGCUACCCGCCCUCGCCGUCCUCGAUGAUAAUCAGUUCUUCACCGGCUCCUUCGAUAGUAGUAUCCUCUCAUGGGAUUUGCGAGUACCGGGCGGCGUAACGUCGUCUGUGCAGGGCGGCGCCGCGGCGACGGAGCUGGCGGCGCACACGAUGCACACCUUGAAGCUAAAAAACUACGUUACCGGGCUGGACGUUGACGACGUGCACCUGGCGGCCAGCGUCGGCGAGAACCUGUACCUGUGGGACGUCCGAAAGCUGCACACGGUGCUGGGCGGCUACCCACAAGGCUGGAAGGGCCUCUCGCGCGGUGUCCAGGUGCAGAGCGUGUCGCAUCUGGUGGUGACGGCGUCGCCGGACGGGUUCGUGCGCUUCUGGAGCUUUGUCUAGGCGGGGUGCGCUGCGCAAGGCGUCGACGUGCCGAACGCCGCAGGGGCCCGAGAAGGGCAGCGACUGGCUGCACGCCGCGGUUUCUGUGAUUGAACCGCGUGCGCCGUCGUCUUUCGGUGGCGGUGGACAGCAGCGGUGCGUUACCGGCAUGCUUGACGUCUCUCUCGCUUUUCUUUUGUCUUGUGUCCUCAGCUCUUUCCAGAGCGCGUGAUGCGAUGUGCGCUCCAAGUGCGUGCGUGCGUAGGGUGCCAACAAUGCGAAACUUAUUUUGCAAAUGGAUAGGAACGCAAGCGGAUUUCUCAGCGGUGGAGAGGGCCGUGGUGAGCGAGAGAGGGAGAGCGACGAAGCAAAAAGGCAGGGAUGGCUGAUGACGUUUGUUUUUCCUGUCCUCCACGGAUCGCUUGCGGUGCUUUUCGCAUUCGUGUAUAAUGUCGGCGCGCACUGCCAGUGCGCGGUGCGCGAGACGAAGAAAAGGGCGGUGAGAGGAGGGAUGACGACGGUCGAGCGCUCAUGUAUAAACGGCGAUAG